UACGGAGGGUGCGAGCGUUGUCCGGAAUCAUUGGGCGUAAAGGGCGCGUAGGUGGCCCCUCAAGCGUGCGGUGAAAGUCAGGGGCUCAACCCCUGAUCGGCCGUGCGAACUGGGGAGCUUGAGCACUGUAGAGGCAGGCGGAAUUUCGGGUGUAGCGGUGGAAUGCGUAGAGAUCCGGAGGAACACCGGUGGCGAAGGCGGGUCUCUGGGCCGUUACUGACGCUGAGGAGCGAAAGCGUGGGGAGCGAACAGG
rnacentral:rRNA from 1 species